rnacentral:tRNA from 1 species
GCUUUUAGAGGGGAGGAACCCCACCGGCUUUAGGAGCCGGCCAUUCUUGGCCAAACCCAAGUGGAAGCUAUGAUCGAA